AACCUUACCUACCCUUGACAUGGUCGGAAUCCCGAAGAGAUUUGGGAGUGCUCGAAAGAGAACCGGCGCACAGGUGCUGCAUGGCUGUCGUCAGCUCGUGUCGUGAGAUGUUGGGUUAAGUCCCGCAACGAGCGCAACCCUUGUCAUUAGUUGCUACGAAAGGGCACUCUAAUGAGACUGCCGGUGACAAACCGGAGGAAGGUGGGGAUGACGUCAAGUCCUCAUGGCCCUUAUGGGUAGGGCUUCACACGUCAUACAAUGGUACAUACAGAGGGCCGCCAACCCGCGAGGGGGAGCUAAUCCCAGAAAGUGUUUCGUAGUCCGGAUUGGAGUCUGCAACUCGACUCCAUGAAGUUGGAAUCGCUAGUAAUCGCGGAUCAGC
rnacentral:rRNA from 1 species